rnacentral:tRNA from 1 species
GCACAUGUAUUGUGCGAUGGACUUUACCCACUGCCCUCCGAAGGCAGGGGUUGCUGGUUCGAUCCCAGCCGGGCGCGCCA